UUUUCUAAGCCUGCGAUCUCAUUCAUAAGGUGCCUAUGAAACAAGUGCUGCUCAAGAUUGACUAAGCAUGUGAGUAAGGCUUUAUUUUAAUAGCACCAUGUAGGAGGUUUCUUUACAAAUGAAUGGAGAGUGGAGGAGGGAAACGCUUGCAAACUGCCCACGGACAGGAGCUAAAACCUGUGAGAGCAUGCUAACCCAGAAUGACUCUUUUCAGUUUCAGGACUCUGGCUACCCCUUUUCCCUGAGCUGCACGUGGCCAGGCCAAGAACUGCACAGUUUUAGAGAUUGUAACACAGUAAAAGUUCAAAUGACUGCAUGAUAAUCUACAAAACACAAGAGUUGUGAAGCACAUGAACAGCAUGGUUUGCACCAGAAAGCUAAGGACGGUGGGGCCUUUGUCCACCUGCCCAGUGGCUGAAUCCGAAGACAAUCCAGUCAUGUUCCCCAUUUCUACCCACCUCUUUGGGUAGAGGUCUUUGUAGUUAUGUGAUUUUUGUUUUUCAACUAGAGAAGCUUUGUAUUAUUUCCAAAAGCUUCCAAUCCCCAUGAUUCCAGUUCAAGGAAAUGUGGCCACACUGGUUAGGUCGGGACUGCACCGCAUUCUCUCUUGUUGCUGAGACUGGCAGCAGCAGGCCAUGGAGCCCCACUUCCAUCAGAAUGCCUGCAAGCACGGGCUUCCCACUGUGGUUCUCCCAGUCUUGCCCAAAAGGCUGCCAGACCUCAGCAUGUCCAGGCCAAGCCGGACACUCGACCUACUCUGGACGGUGUGAUGGAACUUCUCUCAACAGGACCAAGAGGUGGCAUGAGCUACGCCUCCCAAGGACUGCAGCAACCAGGUAGGCUGCCCUGUGAGACCCGGCCUGCUCAGAAUGUGCCUCGAUCAAUGGAGAGGCCCUGCUCCUGAUCACUCUCAAGUAUAAAGCCUUCUUGUCUGGAGUCGGGGACCCCAGUGAACCUGACCAUUACUCUAGGGCACAGGCAUCCCCUCCACCUACCCCAACACUCUGGAGGGCAAGAACACGAGGAGCAUCAUCUGCUGCUGGUUCUGUACUUGCUGCUGGACAAAGUUUAGCUGCAAACCGGGCAUUUGGUCUAGAGAAUACUCACCAUCCUGGGCAGUAAAAGUGCUCAAAAUUGUCCUAAAUUCCUCCCAGGCCUAGUCUUGUACCUGCUGGGGAUAAGCUACAAGCAGGGUCUGGCCCGGAUCACCCUUACCCUGCACCUUCUCCAUCACCCUCCAGAAGCAUGCUCCAGUUGUGACCUUUCCUUGGUUUCUGUGGGAUGUGCUACGGACCACGAGAGUUUCAUUCUUUCUUAUUUUAAUGUUCUCAUCUUCAUUUGCAUCUUUCCACUAAAACUUUCCACAAAUAACUAUGGACUAUGAGAAAUUCUUUGGGAGGAACACUACCAUUUUGGGAGGUAGCCCUCUGUUCCACUGACAACAGCCCCCAGCUCCCCACUACGGGACACAUGUGUAAAUCGAGUCCCAGUGGCCACUGGAAACUUACUCUGCCUCAAGCUGAAGCCACAGUGGCCCGUGCAUUGCAGAGAC